UUAGUACUAAAAGUUUUCUUUUCAGGUACCAUGUCCACCAGACUAGGAUCAGGAGUUUACAAGAGGAGGCCGACCGAUGGUUCCUCUUCUUCUCGAUCGUCAGGCGCUGCACCGACCAGUUUAGGCCAAAUUAGACUACCGCAGCGCCAUCGAUUCCUACUUUUCCAAGGGCAGCCCACCUUUGAGCAGAGAUAUCAAUC
rnacentral:lncRNA from 1 species